GGGUCAGUAGGUUGGUCGUGCCACCGGUACGUACUGGUCUCACUGAUUCCUCCUUCCUGAAGAACCGUAAUGCCAUUAAUUUGGUGUUGCGGGGAAACAGGACUGUUACUUUGAAAAAAUUAGAGUGUUUAAAGCAAGCUAACGCUUGAAUACAUUAGCAUGGAAUAAUGAAAUAGGACGAUCGAUCUUAUCUUGUUGGUUUCUAGGAUUGACGUA
rnacentral:rRNA from 1 species